UUACGGGAGGCAGCAGUGGGGAAUAUUGCGCAAUGGGGGAAACCCUGACGCAGCAACGCCGCGUGGAGGAUGAAGGCCUUCGGGUUGUAAACUCCUGUCUUCAGGGACGAAACAUGACGGUACCUGAGGAGGAAGCCACGGCUAACUACGUGCCAGCAGCCGCGGUAAUACGUAGGUGGCGAGCGUUGUCCGGAAUUACUGGGCGUAAAGGGUGCGUAGGCGGGUUUUUAAGUCAGAUGUGAAAUUCCGGGGCUUAACUUCGGAACUGCAUUUGAAACUGGAGGCCUGGAGUGCAGGAGAGGAAAGCGGAAUUCCUAGUGUAGCGGUGAAAUGCGUAGAUAUUAGGAAGAACACCAGUGGCGAAGGCGGCUUUCUGGACUGUAACUGACGCUGAGGCACGAAAGCGUGGGGAGCAAACAGGAUUAGAUACCCGGGUAGUCCA
rnacentral:rRNA from 1 species